GGAUCACCUCCUUUCUAAGGAAGCUGUGGAAUUGGUAAGACGCCGGCAUUGAUCUGGAUGAACCUUCCCGUGCUUUUUAGAACAUAGAUCGGACCAGUCAGGUCACGAUCGAAACGCAAUACGCCGGAUGACUUCGGUCAUGACGGUAUGGCGAGCCUCGCCGUCCACGUUUCUCUUUCUUCAAAAAGACAAAAGCCGCAUCGACUUUAGCGAGCGCAUGGGUCUUCAGAUGGUCAAUGAUCUGCUGUAGGACUUGUGCGUGACGAAGGAUGGGCCCGUAGCUCAGUUGGUUAGAGCACACGCUUGAUAAGCGUGGGGUCGGUAGUUCAAGUCUACCCGGGCCCACCAGCCUUUUCCCUUAUGGGUUUUGGCUUGGCAAGCCUGGACGUAUUUGACGGAUGCGAUGUGGUUAUGUUGCCGGGCCGAUGGAGCGAUCUGUCGGUUAUCGAGCUGGAUGGGGCUGUAGCUCAGCUGGGAGAGCACCUGCUUUGCAAGCAGGGGGUCAGCGGUUCGAUCCCGCUCAGCUCCACCAUUGUUUUGUCCUGACGCUGUCGCGCCUUUGGCGCUGCGCUCUGGACGGGCCGCCGCCCUACGAUCAUAUCGAGGGGAGAUCGGCGACGGGCCUCUGGCCUGUAUUGGUGAGUGCAACGAAAAUUGUCUUUUGAAGAAGUAAAAGUUUGCAUCGGCUUUGAGCCUGAUGCCUGUUCUGCAUACAUUGUGAAGAGAAGAUUGAUCUGGAGGCUUCCAGGUGUUUUGAGCGACCGCGAGGUUGUUUGAGGCGUCCGAGCCCGGACCUUACGAUAUCGUGGAUGGCCUAGCCGGCUGGAAACGAAGGAGGGGACGGAGGUAGGAAGGAAGCUUGUCGCUCUGGGUCGCCAGUGUAGAUCGCGAAAGUGAUUUACGUGUGUUGUUGGCAUUUUAGGAAUGCCUCUGACAGCGACCGGAUUACCGUUGCCUGACCGCGCGGUAUCGGAUCCAAUCUCGAGAAGCUGGUCUUAAGAUAGACCGCAAGCGAGCUGCUCGGCGUAGCUCCAAAAAAGCGGAUCUAUCGAACACGUCGAUGGCAUUGUUAGAAAGCGUCCGUUGUAAAAGGUAACGGCGCAUAGCUGGUUCGGCACACUGGCAAGAUGAACCCUUUGGGUUCACUUGAGAAGUGUCCGGAUUGUCGGAUUUGGAACCCCUUCGAGCGAAAGCGAGGAGGAUAGGAAUUCCAAAUCCAAGCAAAGACGAUGAGCAUUGGCAAUGAGAACGAUCAAGUGUCGUAAGGGCAUUUAGUGGAUGCCU
rnacentral:tRNA from 2 species